GAUGAACGCUGGCGGCGUGCCUAAUACAUGCAAGUCGAGCGAACAGAUGAGGAGCUUGCUCCUCUGACGUUAGCGGCGGACGGGUGAGUAACACGUGGAUAACCUACCUAUAAGACUGGGAUAACUUCGGGAAACCGGAGCUAAUACCGGAUAAUAUAUUGAACCGCAUGGUUCAAUAGUGAAAGACGGUUUUGCUGUCACUUAUAGAUGGAUCCGCGCCGCAUUAGCUAGUUGGUAAGGUAACGGCUUACCAAGGCAACGAUGCGUAGCCGACCUGAGAGGGUGAUCGGCCACACUGGAACUGAGACACGGUCCAGACUCCUACGGGAGGCAGCAGAAGGGAAUCUUCCGCAAUGGGCGAAAGCCUGACGGAGCAAAGCCGCGUGAGUGAUGAAGGUCUUCGGAUCGUAAAACUCUGUUAUUAGGGAAGAACAAAUGUGUAAGUAACUAUGCACGUCUUGACGGUACCUAAUCAGAAAGCCACGGCUAACUACGUG
rnacentral:rRNA from 1 species